rnacentral:sRNA from 1 species
GGGCUUCCUGGGCGGAAAGGGGACCCUGGACCAUCGGGCCCCCCUGGACCUCGUGGACCAUUGGGGGACCCAGGACCCCGUGGCCCCCCAGGACUUCCUGGAACAGCCGUGAAGGGUGACAAAGGCGAUCGUGGGGAGCGGGGUCCCCCUGGACCAGGUGAAGGUGGCAUUGCUCCUGGGGAGCCCGGGCUGCCGGGUCUUCCUGGAAGCCCUGGACCCCAAGGCCCCGUUGGCCCCCCUGGAAAGAAAGGAGAAAAAGGUGACUCUGAGGAUGGAGCUCCAGGCCUCCCAGGACAACCUGGGUCUCCGGGUGAGCAGGGCCCACGGGGACCUCCUGGAGCUAUUGGCCCCAAAGGUGACCGGGGCUUUUCAGGGCCCCUGGGUGAGGCUGGAGAGAAGGUAAGUGCAACCUGGGGGGCUCCAAGGGCCCUGGAGGAUCUGGGCCCAACUCAGCUCUGACCUCUUCUGUUCCAUCAGGGUGAACGUGGACCCCCAGGCCCAGCGGGAUCCCGGGGGCUGCCAGGGGUUGCUGGACGUCCUGGAGCUGAGGGUCCUGAAGGGCCACCAGGACCCACUGGCCGCCAAGGAGAGAAGGGGGAGCCUGGUCGCCCUGGGGACCCUGCAGUGGUGGGACCUGCUGUUGCUGGACCCAAAGGAGAAAAGGGAGAUGUGGGGCCCGCUGGGCCCAGAGGAGCUACCGGAGUCCAAGGGGAACGGGUAAGUGAAGCGAAGUGUUUAGGGGAUGGUUGGUGAAGGUUGUCUUCCUGACUUCUUAUCCUUCCAUCCACAGGGCCCACCCGGCUUGGUUCUUCCUGGAGACCCUGGCCCCAAGGGAGACCCUGGAGACCGGGGUCCCAUUGGCCUUACUGGCAGAGCAGGACCCCCAGGUGACUCAGGGCCUCCUGGAGAGAAGGGAGACCCUGGGCGGCCUGGCCCCCCAGGACCUGUUGGCCCCCGAGGACGAGAUGGUGAAGUUGGAGAGAAAGGUGACGAGGGUCCUCCGGGUGACCCGGGUUUGCCUGGAAAAGCAGGCGAGCGUGGCCUUCGGGGGGCACCUGGAGUUCGGGGGCCUGUGGGUGAAAAGGGAGACCAGGGAGAUCCUGGAGAGGAUGGACGAAAUGGCAUCCCUGGACCAUCUGGACCCAAGGGUGACCGUGGGGAGCCGGGUCCCCCAGGACCCCCGGGACGGCUGGUAGACACAGGACCUGGAGCCAGAGAGAAGGGAGAGCCUGGAGACCGCGGACAAGAGGGUCCCCGAGGGCCCAAGGGUGACCCUGGCCUGCCUGGAGCCCCUGGGGAAAGGGUGAGUGUGAUUGGUCCUGGGGGGUGCAGGCGUGGGAGGGCCUGCUCUGAUUUCUUCCUCCCCUAUCCUCAGGGCAUUGAUGGGCUUCGGGGGCCCCCAGGCCCACAGGUGAGUGAUGCACUUUGCCCCGUCUGUCAAGUCCCCAUCUUACCCCCACCUCUUACCUGACCCUGUUCCCUCCAGGGGGACCCAGGUGUCCGAGGCCCAGCAGGAGAAAAGGGUGACCGGGGUCCCCCGGGGCUGGAUGGCCGGAGCGGACUGGAUGGGAAACCAGGAGCCCCCGGGCCCUCUGGGCCGAAUGGUGCUGCAGGCAAAGCUGGGGACCCAGGGAGAGACGGGCUUCCAGGCCUCCGUGGAGAACAGGGCCCCCCUGGCCCUUCUGGUCCCCCUGGAUUACUGGGAAAGCCAGGCGAGGAUGGCAAACCUGGCCUGAAUGGAAAAAACGGAGAACCUGGGGACCCUGGAGAAGACGGGAGGAAGGUAAAGUCCCCCACCUGGGGUCUCUCUGGUCUCUGCUUGGAGCCAUGCCUGAAGCAUCCUUGUCUUCCUUAGGGAGAGAAAGGAGAUUCAGGUGCCCCUGGGAGAGAAGGUCGUGAUGGCCCCAAGGGUGAGCGUGGAGCUCCUGGCAUCCUUGGACCCCAGGGGCCUCCAGGCCUCCCAGGGCCAGUGGGCCCUCCUGGCCAGGGUUUUCCUGGUGUCCCAGGAGGCACAGGCCCCAAGGGUGACCGUGGGGAGACUGGAUACAAAGGGGAGCAGGGCCUCCCUGGAGAGCGUGGCCUGCGAGGAGAGCCUGGAAGCAUGCCGAAUGUGGAUCGGUUGCUGGAAACUGCUGGCAUCAAGGCGUCUGCCCUGCGGGAGAUCGUGGAGACCUGGGAUGAGAGCUCUGGUAGCUUCCUGCCUGUGCCUGAACGGCGUCGAGGCCCCAAGGGGGACUCGGGUGAACGGGGCCCCCCAGGCAAGGAGGGCCCCAUCGGCUUUCCUGGAGAACGUGGGCUGAAGGGCGACCGUGGAGACCCUGGCCCUCAGGGGCCACCUGGCCUGGCCCUUGGGGAGAGGGGCCCCCCUGGACCUCCCGGCCUUGCCGGGGAGCCUGGAAAGCCUGGUAUUCCCGGGCUCCCAGGCAGGGCUGGGGGUGUGGGAGAGGCAGGAAGGCCAGGAGAGAGGGGAGAACGGGGAGAGAAAGGAGAACGUGGAGAACAGGUGGGCUGCGAUGGGCUCCGUGGGGCAGGCUGUCUGGAGGCUGUGCUGGGGCUGCCACCCCAUUUUCUUGUUUCCCGCAGGGCAGAGAUGGCCCUCCUGGCCUCCCUGGAACCCCUGGGCCCCCUGGACCCCCUGGCCCCAAGGUGUCUGUGGAUGAGCCAGGUCCUGGACUCUCUGGAGAACAGGGACCCCCUGGACUCAAGGGUGCUAAGGUCAGUGUGUGGGAUCAGCUCGGGGCCACCCUCUGUCAUGGCACUAGGGACUGACUUGACAUCUCAUCCCCACAGGGGGAGCCGGGCAGCGAUGGUGACCGAGGUCCCAAAGGAGACAGGGGUGUGCCAGGCAUCAAAGGAGACCGGGGAGAUCCUGGACCGAGGGGUCAGGAUGGCAACCCGGGUCUACCAGGAGAGCGUGGUGUGGCUGGGCCUGAAGGCAAGCCGGGUCUGCAGGGUCCAAGAGGCCCCCCUGGCCCAGUGGGUGGUCAUGGAGAUCCUGGACCACCUGGUGCCCCGGGUCUUGCUGGCCCUGCAGGACCCCAGGGACCUUCUGGCCUGAAGGGGGAGCCUGGAGAGACAGGACCUCCAGGACGGGUGAGUGGCCUAGCUCACAGGUUAGGGUCAUAGGGAGAUAGGUGGGGUUGGCACUGCCCUGAACUUUCUCUUCCUCCAGGGCCUGCCUGGACCUACUGGAGCUGUGGGACUUCCUGGUCCCCCCGGCCCUUCAGGCCUUGUGGGUCCACAGGGGUCUCCAGGUUUGCCUGGACAAGUGGUGAGUUCUGGGGGUCAAGGGUUGGGCUCCAGGGGUCAAGGGUCGACAGGCAGCCUGACAGAGCUCUUCUCUCUCAGGGGGAGACAGGGAAGCCAGGAGCCCCAGGUCGAGAUGGUGCCAGUGGAAAAGAUGGAGACAGAGGGAGCCCUGGUGUGCCAGGGUCACCAGGUCUGCCCGGCCCUGUAGGACCUAAAGGAGAACCUGGCCCCACGGGGGCCCCUGGACAGGCUGUGGUCGGGCUCCCUGGAGCAAAGGGAGAGAAGGGAGCCCCUGGAGGCCUUGCUGGAGACCUGGUGGGUGAGCCGGGAGCCAAAGGUGACCGAGGACUGCCAGGGCUGCGAGGCGAGAAGGGUGAAGCUGGACGUGCAGGGGAGCCCGGAGACCCUGGGGAAGAUGUGAGUCUGGGGCCUAGGCAAGGGUGAGCCUGGCCUGAGGAGUGUGAUGACGGGCAUAAGGGACCACUCUUGGGCCUGGGCACAUGUCUGAGCCCCUGAGUCAGGCUGCAUGUCCCAACAUCCAGGAGCCUGCUCUCUGGAUCACGGGGAGCCACACGCUGUCGGCUUCCACACUCUGAGCUCUGGGGGCCCUGUCUUGGCUUCUGUGUGCCCAUCCUUGGUCUGUUCCUCACCACAUCUGAGCACACGUGUGCUCCGGUCUGAUCUCCCAGCUCCCAGGACACACCUGAGUUCUUCUGAAGCUCUCCUUGGUCCUGUGUUUACAAUCCUCCUUUCCCCUGCCCCUGGCUGCCAGCGUUCAGCCUGUGGCCACGCCUGCUCUACCCGGGAGUGGACGUGUUGGGGUUCCCCUCUGAGCGCCCAUGUGUCUGCACUUACGUCUGUGGAGUCAGAUGUCUGCACUCGUGUGUGGGCUUCAUGUGCCUGUGCCAUGCCUGAACUCCCACCUGUCUAUGGUCGUAUCUGAGCGUCCCUCUGUCUGUGCUGUCCUGAGAUAGGCCACGGUCACGUCUGAGCUCCUGUGAGCCAAUUCUUGGUCGCAUGUGUGAGUUCCCAUGUGUUCAUGGUCACAUCAGAGCUCCCCUGGGAAUAUUUUCGGCCCGUGUCUGAACUCUGUGCUCAUGUUCCUACCCUCUCAAAUGCUGUUUGCUGGGUUUUCUUAGGGUCAGAAAGGGGCUCCAGGACCCAAAGGUUUCAAGGGUGACCCAGGAGUCGGGGUCCCGGGCUCCCCUGGGCCUCCUGGCCCUCCAGGUGUGAAGGGAGAUCUGGGCGUCCCUGGCCCCCCCGGUGCUCCUGGUGUUGUUGGGUUCCAGGGUCAGACAGGCCCUCGAGGAGAGAUGGGUCAGCCAGGCCCUAGUGGAGAGCGGGGUCUGGCAGGCCCCCCAGGGAGAGAAGGAGUCCCAGGCCCCUUGGGGCCACCUGGACCACCGGGGUCAGUGGGACCACCUGGGGCCUCUGGACUCAAAGGAGACAAGGGAGACCCUGGAGCAGGGCUGCCCGGGCCCCGAGGCGAGCGUGGGGAGCCAGGCGUCCGGGGUGAAGAUGGCCGCCCCGGCCAGGAGGGACCCCGAGGACUCACGGGGCCCCCUGGCAGCAGGGGAGAGCGUGGGGAGAAGGGUGACGUUGGGACUGCAGGACUAAAGGGUGACAAGGUGAGUGUGGGCGUGGGGAGGGCAGGGCAGGGGCCAGGGUGCUCCCGACUCCUCUGACUCCUCCAUGCCCCCUCAGGGAGACUCGGCCGUGAUCCUGGGGCCUCCAGGGCCACGGGGUGCCAAGGGGGACAUGGGUGAACGAGGGCCUCGGGGCUUGGAUGGUGACAAAGGACCUCGGGGAGACAAUGGGGACCCUGGUGACAAGGGCAGCAAGGGAGAGCCUGGUGACAAGGGCUCAGCCGGGUCGCCAGGACUGCGUGGACUCCCGGGACCCCAGGGUCAACCUGGUGCAGCAGGGAUCCCUGGUGACCCGGGAUCCCCAGGAAAGGAUGGAGUGUCUGGUAUCCGAGGAGAAAAAGGAGAUGUUGGCUUCAUGGGUCCCCGGGGCCUCAAGGGUGAACGGGGAGUGAAGGGAGCCUGUGGCCUUGAUGGAGAGAAGGGAGACAAGGUACAGAGGGGAUGGGGGCUGGGGGGCUAUGUGGCCUGGGGCCUAAGGCUCACCCCACUGCCUGAUGCCUGCAGGGAGAAGCUGGUCCCCCAGGCCGCCCCGGGCUGGCAGGACAUAAAGGAGAGAUGGUGAGUGUGGGCACACUCAGAAUGAGGGGGCCACGGGUGGACGGGGGCCAAGUUCAUGUCUUUUUUUCUCCAGGGGGAGCCUGGUGUGCCGGGCCAGUUGGGGGCCCCUGGCAAGGAGGGCCUGAUCGGUCCCAAGGGUGACCGAGGCUUUGAUGGGCAGCCAGGCGCCAAGGGUGACCAGGGCGAGAAAGGGGAGCGGGGAACCCCAGGAAUUGGGGGCUUCCCAGGCCCCAGUGGAAAUGAUGGCUCCGCUGGUCCCCCGGGGCCACCUGGCAAUGUUGGUCCCAGAGGCCCUGAAGGACUUCAGGGCCAGAAGGGUGAGCGAGGUCCCCCUGGAGAGAGAGUGGUGGGGGCUCCUGGGGCCCCUGGAGCUCCUGGAGAGAGAGGGGAGCAGGGGCGGCCAGGGCCUGCCGGCCCUCGAGGCGAGAAGGGAGAAGCUGCACUGACGGAGGAUGACAUCCGGGGCUUUGUGCGCCAAGAGAUGAGUCAGCACUGCGCUUGCCAGGGUCAGUUCAUCGCAUCUGGAUCACGACCCCUCCCUAGUUAUGCUGCAGACACUGCCCGCUCCCAGCUCCAUGCUGUGCCUGUGCUCCGCGUCUCUCACGCAGAGGAGGAAGAGCGGGUGCCCCCUGAGGAUGAUGAGUACUCUGAAUACUCCGAGUAUUCCGUGGAGGAGUACCAGGACCCUGAAACCCCUUGGGAUAGUGAUGACCCCUGUUCCCUGCCGCUGGAUGAGGGCUCCUGCACUGCCUACACCCUGCGCUGGUACCAUCGGGCUGUGACAGGUGGCACAGAGGCCUGUCACCCUUUUGUCUAUGGCGGCUGUGGAGGGAAUGCCAACCGUUUUGGGACCCGUGAGGCCUGCGAACGCCGCUGCCCACCCCGGGUGGCCCAGAGCCAGGGGACAGGUACUGCCCAGGACUGAGGCCCAGAUGAUGAGCCGAGAUUCAGCGUCCCCUGGAGGAGUCGCGGUCUCAGCAGAACCCCACUGUCCCUCCCCUUGGUGCUAGAGGCUUGUGUGCACGUGAGCGUGCGUGUGCACAUCCAUUAUUUCAGUGACUUGGUCCCGUGGGUCUAGCCUUCCCCCCAGGGACAAACCCCCAUUGUGGCUUCUGCCACCCUGGCAGAUGACUCACUGUGGGGGGUGGCUGUGGGCAGUGAGCGGAUGUGACUGGCGUCUGACCCGCCCCUUGACCCAAGCCUGUGAUGACAUGGUGCUGAUUCUGGGGGGCAUUAAAGCUGCUGUUUUAAAAGGC